rnacentral:tRNA from 1 species
AGCUCUGUAGUGUAUAUUACACGUUGAAUUGCAAAUUCAGAAAAGCAGCUUCAACCCUGCCGGGGCUU